AAAGCAAAUAAAGGAAAUUUUAGACCUGUAUUAUUCAACUGGAUAAAACUGAAGGUUCAGAAGUGAUUGCAAAUAUUGCCAACCAGCAACUACAAGAAAAUUGAAUCUACAGACAAGCUAAAAAUAAAGUUACUUUUAUAAAACCAUGUUAAACAUUUGGAUGGGUCAAAUAGAAUGAAAUGAAAUAAAUAACUGCUGCUGAAAAUAUAAAGAAAAAGUGACCAAAAGCAAAAUGGUCUUGAAGGAAAACUUUGAAAGAGAUGUAUAGGAAGACCUCAGCUUUUGCCUGUAUCGUCCUACCAUGUGAAGAUUGAUUAAAGCAAUAAACAAAGUUUUAUGGCAGAUAGAGGGGACUCUAUGGUGCACAUAUUGGCCCCAGGUAAGAAAACAUCAUCUGGAGAGGUCCUUUCUCCUCAGAUACUGUGAUAUUUUUAGUGGUUUAUUCUACAAACUUCAAGUGUGAAGAAAAGGGGCAAUAAUGUGUUUAUAUAUCAAGUACUUGAGACUGCUUGCUAGAGGCAAUCACAGUUCUUAUAAAAAGAGCUGUUUGCAAAACUGCAAGGAGAGAUAUGGCAGUUAUUUUACUUUAGUUGUUUGUGUUAAACACUAAGGAAAGUGUCAUAAGGAUGUAAGAAACCAAAACAAUUGAAUAAAAUGUAAAAAUUACAGUCCAU